UGCAGUCGAGCGAACUGAUUAGAAGCUUGCUUCUAUGACGUUAGCGGCGGACGGGUGAGUAACACGUGGGCAACCUGCCUGUAAGACUGGGAUAACUCCGGGAAACCGGAGCUAAUACCGGAUAACAUUUUCUCUUGCAUAAGAGAAAAUUGAAAGAUGGUUUCGGCUAUCACUUACAGAUGGGCCCGCGGUGCAUUAGCUAGUUGGUGAGGUAACGGCUCACCAAGGCAACGAUGCAUAGCCGACCUGAGAGGGUGAUCGGCCACACUGGGACUGAGACACGGCCCAGACUCCUACGGGAGGCAGCAGUAGGGAAUCUUCCGCAAUGGACGAAAGUCUGACGGAGCAACGCCGCGUGAGUGAUGAAGGCUUUCGGGUCGUAAAACUCUGUUGUUAGGGAAGAACAAGUACAAGAGUAACUGCUUGUACCUUGACGGUACCUAACCAGAAAGCCACGGCUAACUACGUGCCAGCAGCCGCGGUAAUACGUAGGUGGCAAGCGUUAUCCGGAAUUAUUGGGCGUAAAGCGCGCGCAGGCGGUUUCUUAAGUCUGAUGUGAA
rnacentral:rRNA from 2 species